rnacentral:tRNA from 1 species
GGGGAUGUGGCUCAGUUGGCAGAGUGCCUGCCUAGCACCCAGAGAGGCCUGGGUUCCAUACCCAGGCCCCCA